UGGGGAAUUUUGGACAAUGGGCGAAAGCCUGAUCCAGCAAUGCCGCGUGUGUGAAGAAGGCCUUCGGGUUGUAAAGCACUUUUGUCCGGAAAGAAAUCCUUGGCUCUAAUACAGUCGGGGGAUGACGGUACCGGAAGAAUAAGCACCGGCUAACUACGUGCCAGCAGCCGCGGUAAUACGUAGGGUGCAAGCGUUAAUCGGAAUUACUGGGCGUAAAGCGUGCGCAGGCGGUUUGCUAAGACCGAUGUGAAAUCCCCGGGCUCAACCUGGGAACUGCAUUGGUGACUGGCAGGCUAGAGUAUGGCAGAGGGGGGUAGAAUUCCACGUGUAGCAGUGAAAUGCGUAGAGAUGUGAGGAAUACCGAUGGCGAAGGCAGCCCCCUGGGCCAAUACUGACGCUCAUGCACGAAAGCGUGGGGAGCAAAACAGGAUUAGAUACCCUGGUAGUCCACGCCCUAAACGAUGUCAACUAGUUGUUGGGGAUUCAUUUCCUUAGUAACGUAGCUAACGCGUGAAGUUGACCGCCUGGGGAGUACGGUCG
rnacentral:rRNA from 1 species